AAGACCUUACGCUUUUGGAGCGGCCGAUGUCUGAUUAGCUUGUUGGUGAGGUAAAGGCUUACCAAGGCUUCGAUCAGUAGCUGGUCUGAGAGGACGACCAGCCACACUGGGACUGAGACACGGCCCAGACUCCUACGGGAGGCAGCAGUGGGGAAUUUUGGACAAUGGGGGAAACCCUGAUCCAGCCAUGCCGCGUGAGUGAAGAAGGCCUUCGGGUUGUAAAGCUCUUUCAGCCGGGAAGAAAAGGUUGCGAUUAAUAAUCGCAAUUUAUGACGGUACCGGAAGAAGAAGCACCGGCUAACUACGUGCCAGCAGCCGCGGUAAUACGUAGGGUGCGAGCGUUAAUCGGAAUUACUGGGCGUAAAGGGUGCGCAGGCGGUUUUGUAAGUCAGAUGUGAAAUCCCCGGGCUUAACCUGGGAACU
rnacentral:rRNA from 1 species